rnacentral:misc_RNA from 1 species
GAACGCACCUUGCGCUCCUCGGUAUUCCGAGGAGCAUGCCUGUUUGAGUGUCAUUAAAUUCUCAACUUCAUCAUUUUGGUUGAAGCUUGGAUGUGGGGGUUGUGCAGAACACUUUGGUGGUCUGCUCCCCUUAAAUGAAUUAGCGAGUUCAAACUGAGCCCCGUCUAUUGGUGUGAUAAUUAUCUACGCUGUGGAUUGGACUUAGACUUGCUUCUAAACUGUCCGCAAGGACAAUUCUUGACAAUUUGACCUCAAAUCAGGUAGGACUACCCGCUGAACUUAAG